CACCUCUAGCAUUACAAGUAUUAGAGGCAUUGCCUGCCCAGUGACUGUAGUUAAACGGCCGCGGUAUCCUGACCGUGCAAAGGUAGCAUAAUCACUUGUUCCUUAAUUAGGGACUUGUAUGAACGGCUAAACGAGGGUCCAACUGUCUCUUAUUUUAAAUCAGUGAAAUUGACCUUCCAGUGAAGAGGCUGGAAUUUCUUAAUAAGACGAGAAGACCCUAUGGAGCUUAAAUUUAAACUUAUUUAUUUCCUUUAACUCACCUAAUGGAACAAAAACAAUAUUAUAAGCCUAAAAUUUUGGUUGGGGUGACCUCGGAGAACAGAAAAUCCUCCGAACGAUUAUAAUAACAUAGACCAACAAGUCAAAGUAACCCAUUUUCCAAUUGACCCAAAACUAUUUGAUCAACGGACCAAGUUACCCUAGGGAUAACAGCGCAAUCCUAUUUAAGAGUUCAUAUCGACAAUAGGGUUUACGACCUCGAUGUUGGAUCAGGACAUCCCAAUGGUGCAGAAGCUAUUAAUGGUUCGUUUGUUCAACG
rnacentral:rRNA from 1 species